rnacentral:rRNA from 1 species
GACGAACGCUGGCGGCAGGCUUAACACAUGCAAGUCGAGCGCCCCGCAAGGGAGGCGGCGGACGGGUGAGUAACGCGUGGGAAUCUGCCCUUUGGUGUGGGACAACCACGGGAAACUGUGGCUAAUACCGCAUGAGCCCGAGAGGGGAAAGCCGCAAGGCGCCGAGGGAUGAGCCCGCGUCGGAUUAGCUAGUUGGUAGGGUAACGGCCUACCAAGGCGAUGAUCCGUAGCUGGUCUGAGAGGAUGAUCAGCCACACUGGGACUGAGACACGGCCCACGACUCCUACGGGAGGCAGCAGUGGGGAAUAUUGGACAAUGGGCGAAAGCCUGAUCCAGCGAUGCCGCGUGUGUGAAGAAGGCCUGCGGGUUAGUAAAGCACUUUC